UCUUCCACGUCUAAUGUAGGGAUUAUUGUGCAAUACCGCCACCUACUUCCUGGAAUUAGAUCAACGUGGCGUACCCGACCGAGCGGCACGAGAGGAAGGAGGGAGAAGGCUCAGCAGAAAUGAGCAGGUCUCUGAGUCUGGGAC